GGGGCCGACCUGGUUUCGACGGGGGUAGUGAAGCGGCUCAGGGCGUGUCGAGGGUCCGUUACCUCGUUAAUCCACCGGAAAACCAAUAAACGCCAACGACGAGCGUUUCGCACUGGCCGCUUAAGGCCUAGCCGCUGCACCGGGUUGUCGGUAGCCCGGGCCCCGCAAGGGGCAGCAGUGUCAUUCUUACCGAAUCGUCCCUGGCCGGGCCACCUGGUCAGGGCCUAAAACUCAGGUGGCUGGUUGCUGGUUGAGCCUGUGCGUCGGCGUAACGGCAACGAGAUCUCAAUGACGUCACUACACACGUAGAACUGGUCGCAGAAGACUUUCGGACGCGGGUUCGAUUCCCGCCGGCUCCACCA
rnacentral:tmRNA from 1 species